UACGGAGGGUGCUAGCGUUGUUCGGAAUCACUGGGCGUAAAGGGCGUGUAGGCGGUCUGUUAAGUCUGAUGUGAAAUCCCCUCGCUCAACGAGGGAACUGCGUCGGAUACUGGCAGACUCGAGUACCGGAGAGGAAGGUGGAAUUCCCGGUGUAGCGGUGAGAUGCGUAGAUAUCUGGAGGAACACCGGUGGCGAAGGCGGCAUCCUGGCCAUGUCCUGACGCUCAGGGGCGAAAGCGUGGGGAGCAAACAGG
rnacentral:rRNA from 1 species